CUACUCCAUGCAAGCUGUGACGUGCUUUUUAAGAUAUAAUGGCAACAUGCUCUUAAUAGCAGGGAGGGGAUUAUUUAUCCGUGUGGCAAAAGGGCUGGGAGACAAGUCCUGUUACAGUCCUGAAGAGUGCAAAGCUGUCAGACACACAGAUAAAGGAAGAGAGUGUGUGUGAGAGAAAUCCGUUUCUGAUUUAGACUGUAAGCUACAGUGGUUGUGACAUGAAGCUUUGGAGCACUGAAGUGUGAGUGAAGCUAUUGAAAAGUCAAACAGCUGGGAGUGAACACUACCUUCCGUUCAAGAGUGGCCAGAAUAAGAGUAAGACAUUGAACGAAUGAGCUCUGCUGGUAAGAUCUGCAAUCACACCAUGACAGCCGGCGAGGCAGAAGCUGGGGAAUUAGUUCUGGAGCCCCUGGUCACUUGCAAGCUAUGUCUCUGUGAAUAUUCUCUUGAUAAGAUGACCACCCUUCAGGAAUGCACCUGCAUCUUUUGUACAGCGUGCCUAAAACAGUAUAUGGAGCUGGCAAUUCGAGAAGGCUGUGGGUCUCCUAUCACUUGUCCAGACAUGGUUUGCUUGAAUCAUGGGACCCUACAAGAAGCAGAGAUUGCCUGUUUGGUACCUGUUGAUCAGUUUCAGUUAUAUCAGCGACUGAAAUUUGAACGAGAAGUUCAUCUGGAUCCGAACAGAAUGUGGUGCCCUGAUGCUGACUGCCAGACUGUGUGCUAUGUUGAAUUGAAUGAUUUGGGACAAGCAGUGCUGGUAGAAUGCCAGGCAUGUCACCUGAAGUUCUGUUCAUCUUGCAAGGAAGCAUGGCACCCAGAAAGCUUGUGCCAAGAAAACCAACCCAUUGUAAUGCCAACUGAGCAUGGAGCCCUAAUCAGAACAGACACAGAGGCUCCAAUUAAACAGUGUCCAGUGUGCCGGAUCUAUAUUGAACGAAACGAAGGCUGUGCUCAAAUGAUGUGUAAGAACUGCAAGCAUACAUUUUGCUGGUACUGUCUACAGAACUUGGAUAAUGAUAUCUUCUUAAGACAUUAUGACAAAGGCCCCUGCAGAAAUAAACUGGGCCACUCCCGAGCCUCUGUUAUGUGGAACAGAACACAGGUUGUGGGCAUCCUCGUGGGUCUGGGCAUCAUAGCAUUGGUGACAUCUCCUUUGCUGCUUGUGGCAUCUCCAUGUAUUAUCUGCUGCAUCUGCAAAUCAUGCCGAGGCAAAAAGAAAAAGCACAACCCACCCACAACCUAAAACUCUGUGUGCGUCUUUGCAUCCAGCUAUAUAGUAUCUGUGUGAGUGAGAAAGCACAAAGGUUGCAUUUUGGUGCCAUCCCUACCAAAUAAUUUUCCCUCUUCUUGCCAACUUUUGGGAUAAGUGCCUCUACUUUACAGGCCACUAUAUCAUUUGCAAGUCACAGUGCAGGAAAAGACUAGGAAUUUGUGGUGUGUAUAUAUGGUUAUGUCAGAAAAAUGGUCAUAUAUGUUCCACCUUUGAACAUGAUAGAAGCUGUAAGAAAGAGAGAACUUCCUACAGUCUGAAUGUGUUGUUCCUGCAGUAUUGUUCUUCUGCCUUAGCAGAACCACUUACUCAACCAACUGAGGGAGCAUGUGUAAACAUAUAAGACUUCCUCUUAAAACUCUGCUAAUACAUCAAGAUUUUGAUUUAAAAAAAAUGAAAUUAAUUGCUGUUAUCUGUUGGUCUGUUCUCACCAUUUUGUUUAACAAAAUGUAUUUGAUAGUUUCCCUUUAUCCAGACGCAGUGAAGUUUCUUUCAUCUGUAUCUGAAAAUGUCUGUUGGAAGGGAUGCUUGAAAAAUUAUGAAGUGAAUAAGUUACCAAGAAUGAAAUUCAGUUUAUGUCACUACAGUCUUUUCCAUGUUUAUGGAUUUCCAGUAGAGAGUCUCAUUUGAGGGAAGCUCCGAGGACAAAGUAAUGGUAGACUCUCUCUAACUUAUCUGUAACUAUAACUGGUACUAUGAGAUUCUGUAUCAUUUGCCAGUUAAAUUUAAUGAGUUUUUCAUGAUUGUCAUGCUUUAAUUCCAUCUAAAAGACUGUCCAGUAGCUCUGUGGGACUGGGUGCAAUCUAUCCAUCCCCUACCCCACCUUUUUUUCCCUUGAAGUCAGUGUUGCCAAAUAAAUUGAAGCUAUUUCUUCUUAAGUAUAAUGGUUUUGUUUCUAUUUCAGUUACAAAUGGGAGUGUCUACAUGUUUAUUAAAUUUAGUAUCUCUAGGGUGAGGUAGUAAUAAAUGUGCAUUAGGCUCCCCUAAUGCGCAGGAGUGAAAGCACACACUUUUUUAGUGAUGCUUAAUGUGCAGUAGCCUUUUUUUUUACUGUGCAUUAGCUUAUUAGUGUGGUUUUUGACAUGACACAAUGUACAGUAAAAUAAGCUACUGUGCAUUAAAGUGCACAUGUAGACAUCCCCUCUGUAUACCAAAUUCAGUUGAACAGAAAUAACCGAGGAGAGAAUUUUGUUCAGUGCACAUGAACAGAUAUAAAGUCUGUGUAUUCCUCAGUUUAUUAUAAUAUAAUGUAAAAUCCUACCCUUGUUCAGCACUUUAAGAUGAUCUAAAAUGAAAGUCUCUAGUUAGUAGAGUCUGAUUUUUUUUUAAAUAUUUGAAAUCUGAAUAUUAGUUGAUAAAGUAUAUAUGUGUUUUAUAUAACUAAACAUUUUUGCUAAGAAACCAGUUUAUUGAAAUGAUAAAAUACCUUUUCACUUUUGGUAUGUUGUUCUACAAUCAAGCUACCUUCUUUCCAAAGCUGUGUCUAUAUGUAUAUGGCCAUACCUUAAAAGAAGUAUUUUACACAAUAUUUUAAGUGCUCAAGUCAAAAACCUUUUUAAAGUGCUUUUAAAACUGAAACUAUAAAUCAGACCAGAAUGGUUUUCUAUUAAUGGGGCAUAUUAAUUUCAUCAACCUAUCUUGUCUUUUCAAAGUAUGAUAUAUCUGAGCAUUUGCAGUAACUUGGGCCUUUAGGUUGUGUACAAAAGUGCUCUGGGCAUGAACCUCCGUGAACUUUCAAGGCUAAGGCUAGGAUGCAGGGGUCUCUGCAGCCCACAGUCAGAAAUUUGACCAGCAUACAAAAGUUAUUUAAAGCACUGUAGGUUGUUAAAGUGCUGUAAAAUACAGCACUUCAAAUUUUAAUAUCUCAUUUAACAAUGUUUAAUUUAAAGUGCUGUACCCAUUUUUUAAGUGCUGUAAAGCCAUGCACUUCUGUUAAGUCACAACAAUAUAGAGCUUGGAAUGGUGAAAAAGUAACUUCUCUACACAAUUUAGCAGCUUCUGUUUGGCAACUUAGGUGGCCAAAUCUUAAGUACAUAGUAACUUUGCAUGGCUGAAGUUACACAUGCGCUUAAGUGUAGGUAGCAUGAGGUCCAUACUACUUGAUGGAGCUAUUGCUUGAUUCUUCUGGGACACUGUACAGAAAACAGUGUCCACAGAGAGUCUGUUCUGGCAUUCCUAAGAAAUAAUUUAAAGAAUAAUCCAAUUAAAAAGGCUUUAUUUAUGAGACAAAUAAUAAAUUACAGGUGAUACAAGUCAUGCAAGCAAGAUAGCAGGGCCAAAAGGUCUAGAGACUCAGAGUAUUUAUGACCCCUUUGAAUUAAUGUCACUGAGGAUUCACACUUGUGUAGUUUCAAAAUCUCUCAAUGAGCACUUGCUAUUGAUACCACAUUUGAACUAUGCUAUAUUAAUUCCAUUCUUCUCUUAUUACUGUCUCUGUACCAUCUUUCACCAGUUUUACGGUGACUAGUAUGCAGGCUAGUUAGAGGUAUUAUGGCCUAUGAUAGGGAGGAUAAUUUAGAGGGAUAAGGCUGGGUUUCACUGAGCCCUUCUCAUUUCCAGUCUCAGCUGUAACAGUGAUGUACUAGUGACCUUAGUAAAGUCAGUCAGACCUUUGGAGCACUAUCAGACAUGAUGGUUUGUCAUGCGAUCGGCCACUGAAAGUGCUCUACAGCCAUGCGCUGACAGAAGUGCAUGGAUGCAAAGUGCUUUAAAAAUGCCCAUUCACAUUUUGGAUGGGUUUAGAUGAAGGUACUCCAAAGUGGAGCACCUUCAUUAACAUCUGUCAGCACAUGCCAGGAGCUGGGCUGAGCUAACGCAACCCAGCCCUGCUCUGGGUGCUGUCAGAAUGGGACGGGGAGAAGAGAAGGGAGGGAGUUCAGUCUCAGGGUUGUUCAGUCUGCACUGGAUGAUGGGGUGGGUAGACUGGAGCCCCCCGGAGGGGGGGAUCCAAUCCAUCCACACCCCCACUUUUAAAAUGAUUAAGUAAAAACAACAGUAGCUUUAAAAAUGCUGUACUAACAUUAACUACUGUUAUUCCUCAUGCCUUCCUGAGGUAAAUAACACAUGCACCUUUAAUUAAUUGUCAGUUACUACAUUUCAGUAUUGAUACUGUCUCUCCAAGAGUUACAAUAAAUACUUCAGAGAGGUACUUGUGCCAUAACCUAUAAAAUAAAUGCAUCAAAAUAAAGAGAAUAAUGCAUUUUUCUUCACAGUUGAUGUGGAAACAUGCAAAUGAGUAAGAUCAGUUCCACUUCUGUUUUCAGUGGAACUGGGCAGUGAAAACAGUAUCAACAUUUGUUUGCUGUUUUCCUGUGUACUAUAAUGGAUGAUUGUGCUGUAGUGCCUGCUACUUUUGAGUUCCAGUUUCUAUUGCAAUGACCCCUUUUAACUUGUUUUGUAAAUGGUAGGAAGCUAUAAAGUUUUGUUAUUGACUGCAUAAAUAAGGACUGCUCUGCUAGACAUAUCAGGGGAUAGAGCUUAUGAGCUAUAUGAGAGAAGCUUUUUUAUGUGGUGAAGGACUCUAGUCUUUGGGAAAUGUUGCUGAAAAAAUAAUGCACAUAUUUUAAUUAUUUCCAUCAAAAUAUAUUCCUUAGUGGAUCCAUAUUCCUUAGAUGCACAUUAUAAGGAGUCCAAAUAACUGUUUAUGUAUUUGGAGUCAGGGUACUUCUAUCCAGAAAAAAAGAUUUAGGAUCUCAUAAAUUGUAUAUUUAUGCAAUGGAGUAACAUUUUUUUGCAAAAAAUAUCAUAACAUACUCUAUCACAGCUGUCCAAUUGGAGGCCUACAGGCCACGUGUGGCUGGCAAGUGGUUAACAUGUGGUCUGCAAGCCCCUGCAGCCAUCUCUACCACUGGUGCAUAGUGCAGAAGGGCCAGGGAAGAAGUAAGACCUUGUGGCACUAGUAAUGCCUGUAUAGGGUGGGGCCAGGAGGCUUUGUGCUACCUGCACAGUGGAGUGGAGGGAUUCAGGGGGCCUGCCAACUUAGCAAAUGGCUUGUGCAGUGUGUGUCCCAGGGAUCACAGACCAGCACUGCAGGCAGUCCUUAGCCACGGCAAAUUUGCUCUAUCAAAUGCUUUAAGAGUGUAUCCUCCUGCACAUAAACAUUUCUCUCUAGACUGGUGUGAGGGCUGAUACUUCCAAGGACCACUGUAAAAUAAACUUACCAUUAAGAUUGUGAAAAACUUCACCAUGCAUUUUAUUUUUAAAUAAUUUGGGCUUCUGAUUAGCAAAGCAUUUUAGCAUGCACUUUGCUCAAUGGAAUGAAUGGAUGAAGUAAGGCCUCAAAAGAUUUAUUGGAUUUUGGCAUAGAGCUCAGUUGUCCAUGAUGAACAGAAAGUAAAGAUCAGGAUCUACAUACUUCCUACAACAUGGUGUUUACUUUAAUUGUGUUUGUCAUGGAAAAACUUUGUAAUUUUCUAUUGAAAUGUCAUUAGAGUACACUUUAUAGCAAGCCUGAAUGCUCAAGAUUAUGCUGAAACGUACUGUAAACAUGUUUAGGUACAAUGAAUAAAAAAAUAUGUAGUAUGUAAACAUGUUUUGUUAUACUCCCCAAAGUUACGUCACAUCGAGUAAACUUUACUGAUUUAUAUUGUUAGACAAAUUCACUUUUCCUUAGCAAUAAAUUUCUCUAUGACCACACAAUUGACUAUACAUGGUAAUAUUGGUUCAUGUAGUACCAACAAGUUUCAAACAGAAUUCACCACUAAUUUUAAUAGAAAAUUGUGCUUUAAAAACUAUGGCAUCAUUUCUCUCUUUAGUAUGCCUCUUCUAAUAAAAAUAAGCAGCAAGUGCAAAAGCCAAAGUUCACAGCAAAAUAUCGUAUCCCAUAACUUUGAAGUCUGUUGUUUGAUACCUGUCCGUUUGCUUUUAAAAGCAAAACUGAUUCAAUUCUUUAAAAAUAGUUGUUAAAGCAUGUUCUUUUUAAAGGAAUACAUUGCAAAAUGAACAAAGCAGUUGUUAGCAUCAUAAACACCAAGAGUGACAUUUAUACUGAGAUGUUGUUGUUGCUGAGAUGCCAGACAGUACUAUGUAUUUUUAAUGAUUUUAUUUUCAAAAGUGUAAUUAAAUGUAAACAUCCAAAUAUAGCAAGAAGUUGCAGUUCCACCCAAUAGCACAAAUUGGCAUCAGUCAUGGGCCCCAAUCCUGGAAAAACUUAGGCUUGUUCUAAGUUUAACACUUUGUGUGUAGUACCAGAAACAUCAGCUAGGCUACUCACAGUGCAGGAAGUUAAUAAUGUGCAUAAUUCUUUGCAGGACUGAGGGACAUAAAACAUGAUACCCUAUUUUCAUAGGCACUGUGAUUUAAACUAAUGUAUCAGUUGAAAAGGACAACAAAUGGGGAACAUUACUGUAGCUGAUAAGUAGUGUGGUAAAGAGAAGUAGUUCUGUUUCAGACCUAUCUUCAGAGUGCCAACACUUCUGGUUUGGGAGGAAGUAAGAGGGGUAUUAGCUUUUUUUGUUGGCUUUCUGCCAAGGGGUGAAAUCUAUCUUUACAAUGUGCUGCAACUCUGUUACCUGUUUAGGCUUAUUUUAUUUGUUUGUUUCCUGUUGAUAUACUUUCUUCACCAUUCUUAACCAGGUCAAGGGUAAAAAGACUGAUCUUUGUAAGAUUUGUUAAACUAUUUUUGUGUUUUUUAAAAAAGAAGGUUGACAUGUAUAAAGAAAUAAGUGCUUUUGUACAUUUUGUUUUAUGAUUCAGCAUUUAAAAAUUUACAAAUGCAAUUUUGGCACUGUGCACAUACUCCUAUAGUAUAUAUUUAUUUUCUGCCUCUGAGGUUACUUUAUUUUUUUCCUUUCUGAUGCCAUAAAAUGCAAUAUGUGCGACAUUAAAAAAUGUAGUGUGUAGAUGUUUGUCUCACUUUGCUUUAAUUCUCAAAUAACUGAUUCUAUGGACAUUUGGGAGAGUUUUUAAUGGAAAUAAUUUAAACACAUCCACAGUAUUUAAUGAGCAUGUGGGGGGGAGGGGUGUAGAUAAGACAAAGGAUGAAAGAAGUGAGAUCCCAUGUAAUUUCUGAAUUUCAGCUGGUUUCUUUAAAAGAAAAUAAAAAGGUGCAUAUUGCCAUAGGGACUCUUUGCUGGACCCCAGAACAACCCUAAGGCUUUGAGAUUGCAAACUAUACACACAGAGAAGGACCCAAUGAGACCCAGCCCUUGUAUGCUGCUGCAGUGGCAUACAAAAUCCAGGACUAUGAUGCACACGUUCUCUGUUCAGAAGAGUUUAGCAUUGCUACACAUGGCCCCCUCAUAGCUACUCAAACCACUGAAAGAAGUUAAUUUAAAACUAAAUGGGAUCUGAUCCCUAUCCCAACAAUUGCACAUCCUGCCAUGCCAUAUGUUCAUGGGCAGGACAUGCAAUUUUGGAAUGGGUAUCAGAUUCUAAUUGUGCCCUACUGGUCAGUGAAGGGGGAGCCUGGGCUCAUUAUCUUGGGCUCCCCUUGUACCAGGAAGUUGAAAGCUGGGUGCCCAACAAUUAACUGAUUAUCUGUCAGUUCCAGGACUAUACCAGGGCGCAAGCCAACUCCAGCAUGAUCCCCAGAGCUGGCUGACAAUUAACUUAUCAGAUGGCUUGGGAGUGCAAUGGAGCUUGAACUAGCCCCAUUGUGUUCCUUGGAGCCAGCCAACAAUCAGACAAUUGCUGGCUGGAUCAGGACCACACCAGGGUUCCAGGUCCUAUUCAAGACAAAGUGUAGUCCUGGAGCCAGCUGAUCAUCAGUGGGCAGGAACUGCAUGAGGCAUAGUUGGAAACCCUGGUCCUAACCCUGACACGUGUUCAAUUUAAGGUGUGAUAGAAACCAGCCACAAAAAUAUUGCACAUUUUUUGUGUAACCUUUUUUGUGGCUGGUUUCCUUCUUUAUGGUGUCAUUACUUGCCUGAACACAUGGCCAGUUACUGUUUAAGAUGUGGUUAAUGGACUAAUUGCAUUUUAAAUGUAAUGCCUGCUGGGGCCUCAAUGCAGUGGAGUAUGCAUUUGCAUUCAACCAUGGGAUGAUUUAGUUGGGGACAAUCCUGCCUUGAGCAAGGGGCUAGACUAGAUGACCUUGUGUGGUCCCUUCCAGCCCUACUUUCUAUUAUCCUAUGUGAUCACAGGUUUAUGUGACUUUUUAAUGCUGGCCUUACACUGCACAACCAGAUACCCUGAAGUGCUCUUACAUUAAAUACAUUUAUGAACAAGUAUCAAGUAGUCGAACAUACACACAUUGGCUUCUUUGUGUCCAUCUCUGUAGCUAUCCAUUGCUAUCCCAACAUUCAAACAUAGGAUUUUAUCAUAUUUGCUGUUCAUCUUGGUGA